rnacentral:rRNA from 1 species
CAGUCGCCACGGUAAUACGUAGGUGGCAAGCGUUGUCCGGAAUUAUUGGGCGUAAAGGGCUCGCAGGCGGUUUCUUAAGUCUGAUGUGAAAGCCCCCGGCUCAACCGGGGAGGGUCAUUGGAAACUGGGAAACUUGAGUGCAGAAGAGGAGAGUGGAAUUCCACGUGUAGCGGUGAAAUGCGUAGAGAUGUGGAGGAGCACCAGUGGCGAAGGCGACUCUCUGGUCUGUAACUGACGCUGAGGAGCGAAAGCGUGGGGAGCGAACAGGAUUAGAUACCCCUGUAGUCCCUGUCUCUUAUAC